ensembl:lncRNA
CGGGGAUCCAGGCUGUCCAGGAGAAGGGCAGCGGGAGCUGAGGGCGGCCGGCUCCCGGGCCGCUGCGGGGAGGCUGAGUGCCACCCCCGCUACUCAGUCCGCGGGGCUGGGAUGAAGCUUUCUGGCAAGGAGUUGUGAGUUGGUGCGUGUCACUCUCCACUGGGCGGCGGGGCUCCUCCUAGAGGAAAAUAUUGGUAGUUGCGGGAGACCUCCCUCCUCUCCACCCACCGGGUUCCCCCAAAGAAGUAUCUAGAAGUCCUCAACUUCUAUACAUUCAAAGAGAGCAGUGCAUCUCCUGCAGGUAUGGGAAGAAGUCCCUUGGAAAGUGUGAUGAGUCUACUAGAUUUUACCGGUCUAGUUGGUUUUCAAGCUCCUGCUCACUGGGAUUCAGCAUAAAGGACAUUCCCAGUCCGAGAGGUUAAAAAAAAAUGAAGACAAAGCAGGUGAUUUACCAAGAAUGCAUUCCUGUUUGAAGAGAGCUAUGCUAAUACGGGACAUAGGUCUGCAGGGAGGGCAGGAAUAGGACCCAGCCUGAGGUUCGUCCUUGUUUGUGACCUAGGGAAAGGCACCAUUUGUCCAUCAGACACAGGCUCUUGGUACUUCAUUCCAUUUUGUUGAAAAAAAUUAACCAAGACGGGAGUUGUCAAAGCACUUCCCAAAGUCAGAGUGCUGUGUAAGUAUUGGCGUGAAGCACCAGACUGCCAACAACCACUUGCUUCUCCAGGCACAGAGUACAAAGGUACAAAAGUCCAGCCCCGGGCCGUCGAGCUGUCUCAUCUGGAGGAACAACGGGUCACGUGGUCUUCUUACUAUUUGCUUUGUACUGACAGCUAGUUAAGAUCUGUGACAAAGAUGAAAUUAUCCUCCUUUAACCAACAGGAAGUCAUGAAGAGACACAAAAACAAACACAGCAACAACAACAACAACAAAAACCAGACUGAUCACAUAAAGGGAAAAAAUUUAGAGUCCGGAUGGGGACUCAGCUUUUUUGUAUCACCUUUAUUUUGGGGACUCUUCCUUCAGUCUCUCAAGGUCUUGGCAUCUAGUAUUGUGUCCACCUCAUUUCAAGCCACCAGCCCACCAGCCUCUAUGUGUGGCAAGAACUAAAAUUGUCCUCUAAUUCCUAGGCACCAAAGUAACUAACAGUAGUGACCAGGGGGGACAGGAGAGAUUCCUCUAUUUUGCCUUUAGUAGUACAGGUCUUGUGCAGGCAACCCACACAGGUACAGACAGAAACUAAUUAUCAUAGUCUCCAUAUUUGUUAAGUUUGAGCUAGUGAGUUGUGGAGAAUGUGUUUCAUCAUCUUGCUUUGAGAAAUAAACAUUCACAAUGAUGUAGAGA